UACGUAGGGACCGAGCGUUGUCCGGAAUCAUUGGGCGUAAAGAGCGUGUAGGCGGCCACUUAAGUCCUGCGUGAAAUCUUGCGGCUCAACCGCAAGCGGUCGUGGGAAACUGGGUGGCUAGAGUGCGGGAGAGGAGAGUGGAAUUCCUGGUGUAGCGGUGGAAUGCGCAGAUAUCAGGAGGAACACCGGUGGCGAAGGCGGGUCUCUGGGCAGUAACUGACGCUGAGGAGCGAAAGCGUGGGUAGCAAACAGG
rnacentral:rRNA from 1 species